AAGAUCUUGGUAUUAGGGUUUAAUGUCUUACACAUAGGUCGUUAAAAUUUAUUUCUUUUUCACUUCACUAGGCAGAUCUUCUGGUCCAAUAUGGAGGAGUUGCUCCAAAAUGGCUGAAGAAGCUCAUUCAAAAGUGAUUGAUCAGGUAUUUCCUUCGAGUAUGAACUUACUUCCACAUAUUGAGGAGACUCAUGUGCCUUUCCUUUUCUAAUUACAAUUAUGUAAAAAUUAUAACUUUGAUGGAUCUCUUCUUAUAUGCUUAAUUUUAUUUAUAAAUACUUUGUGUUUAGAUGAUUUAUAAGUGAUUGUUCUAAGAAAUAGGUGGAAGAGUCUAAAUAUGUGUUUGAGGCAAAAAACUAUUAAGAGUUGAAAUUUUAGCUCUGUCCACACUGUAGUGGAAGAUGAAUCCAUUUAUCCCAAUUUCAUUUCUUGAUUACAUAGUAAGAAGGCUGGGAUUGAAGAGUAAUUUGUGCUAUGAAUUUCUCACGAGAUGCGAGUUCUUGCUUUUAUCAUUUGUGGUAAACCUUGUGAUAAUAUUAGUUCUUAUUGAAGUUUUCCCUUUUGGACUUCUUUAAUUAUUCUCUUAUUCGUGUGUUAAAUCAAUUGCAGAUUAUAGAUUCAUGUGUUAUCUGCCUGCUGCACUAGCCAAUGUCACAACAUAGUACGCUAUCAGUACCUUCGAGCCUUGCAUUGGAGUAGAUGUCAAGAUCAACUAUUAGGCAUUCUUGGAAUCAACAAGGUUUGUAACUUUAUAAUCUUUUUUAUCAUUUCUUGGGUGCAAGAAUUCUAGUCUGAUUAUAAUGUGCAAUGAAACAGGACACAGUGGAGGAAUACUGUAGUCUAAUACAGGAGGUGGCAACUAGGAUUCGGUUCCAUUUACUCGACAAAAGAAAAUAUGGAUAAUUCCUAGUCAGUCCCAAAGGCGUUGUGGAUGUUUCAUUUAGCUUUGAUAGCUCCAAUGAUACAUGGGCAGUGUCUUCAUCAGCAGCUAUAUCAGUUUCUCCCUGACCAGAGCCUUUAUCCUUGAAAAUCAAGAAUCUGCUCACUCCAAAUGAAGCAGAUACUUUUAGCUAUUCCUACCAAGUCUGAGACCCUUCUUCAUUUCCUAAUUUCAUGUCACAAUACAUAUAUAUGAUUAUGAAGAUGAUCAAUAAAAUUUUCUCUGUUGUCAUGUGUUAAAUUGCCUACCAUCUUUCUGCUGCAUGGUUAAUAAUAUUCUGGGAAAGAUUCUUGGCGUUUAUAUCAUCUCGGAAUGAAGCCAAGAAUAUGAACAUAGGAUUGGAGGGUUAAUUCAUUUUUAUUCAUGGUAAUCUAAGUAUAUAGAUCUUUUGUUAUUAGAAAUAGGUUGUGACUCGAAUUUUAUUUGGAAGAUUAUUUGGGAGUUCUAGCUGAAGUCUAUUUGGGAAUUCUAGUUGGAAUUCAAUUUUGGGGCUCAAAUGGAAGUUUUGAAUUUGUUUUGAACUUGAAGUCAUGAAAGGGUCCAAGUUGCAAUAGGAGAGGAAGGAAUCGUGCCAAGAGAAGGAAGCAUUGCGCCCAGUGCUUGCUACAUGCUCAACACUGUUUGAGAGCUCAGAAGAAGGAAGCCAGCGCUCACUGGCCACGAGAAGGCCGCUCAAGCAGCCAGUCUUAUCGGGUUUUUGCCAUUCGUGAUUUUGGUAGAUUUUUUAAUCCUAUUGUAUUUCAGACACUUCAUUAUUGAAUAGACUUAAAUAUAGUCGAACUCUACCACAUCUUAGGUUCUUCUUGCACUAUAUAUAUGAGGAGCAAACCUCUAGAAAAAUCAAUCAUUACAUUUUACAUAAUAAUUUGUAAUCCUUCAUUAUUGAUAUUAAUAAAAAAAAUUCUUCUGUUCGUGGUAUAUUUUUAUCACAUAAGUCUUUUAUUCUUAUUUGAUUUUCAUAUUGUCAUAUUAUUCUUGUUCCAUUGUUUCCUAGA
rnacentral:lncRNA from 1 species